AGAACGAACGCUGGCGGCAGGCCUAACACAUGCAAGUCGAACGCUCGUAGCAAUACGAGAGUGGCAGACGGGUGAGUAACACGUGGGAACCUUCCCUAUGGUUCGGAAUAGCUCAGGGAAACUUGGGGUAAUACCGGAUAAGCCCUUCGGGGGAAAGAUUUAUCGCCAUUGGAUGGGCCCGCGUCGGAUUAGCUAGUUGGUGAGGUAACGGCUCACCAAGGCAACGAUCCGUAGCUGGUCUGAGAGGAUGAUCAGCCACACUGGGACUGAGACACGGCCCAGACUCCUACGGGAGGCAGCAGUGGGGAAUAUGGACAAUGGGCGCAAGCCUGAUCCAGCCAUGCCGCGUGAGUGACGAAGGUCUUCGGAUUGUAAAACUCUUUUGGCGGGACGAUAAUGACGGUACCGCAGAAUAAGCCCGGCUAACUUCGUGCCAGCAGCCGC
rnacentral:rRNA from 1 species